rnacentral:rRNA from 1 species
AUUGAACGCUGGCGGCAUGCCUUACACAUGCAAGUCGAACGGUAACGGGCCUUCGGGUGCCGACGAGUGGCGAACGGGUGAGUAAUGCAUCGGAACGUACCUUUCAGUGGAGGAUAACGUAGCGAAAGUUACGCUAAUACCGCAUAUUCUGUGAGCAGGAAAGCAGGGGAUCGCAAGACCUUGCGCUGAUUGAGCGGCCGAUGUCAGAUUAGCUAGUUGGUGAGGUAAAGGCUCACCAAGGCGACGAUCUGUAGCGGGUCUGAGAGGAUGAUCCGCCACACUGGAACUGAGACACGGUCCAGACUCCUACGGGAGGCAGCAGUGGGGAAUUUUGGACAAUGGGGGCAACCCUGAUCCAGCCAUGCCGCGUGAGUGAAGAAGGCCUUCGGGUUGUAAAGCUCUUUCGGCCGGGAAGAAAUCGUAUGGGUUAAUACCCUGUGCGGAUGACGGUACCGGCAUAAGAAGCACCGGCUAACUACGUGCCAGCCGCCGCCGUAAUAC